GCCUUCGUGGUGUAGUGGUCAGCACGCUCGGCGCUCACUCGAGAGGUCCGUGGUUCGAGUCCCGGCGAGGGCA
rnacentral:tRNA from 1 species